rnacentral:rRNA from 1 species
UUGGAGGGCAAGUCUGGUGCCAGCAGCCGCGGUAAUUCCAGCUCCAAUAGCGUAUAUUAAAGUUGUUGCAGUUAAAAAGCUCGUAGUUGAAUUUCGGGAUCAAUUUAUUGGUCGUGCCAACGGUACGCACUGGUACAAUUGGUUUCUCCCUUCUGACGAAGCAUGAUGUCAUUAAUUUGAUGUCGUGGGGAAUCAGGACUGUUACUUUGAAAAAAUUAGAGUGUUUAAAGCAGGCUUUGGCUUGAAUACAUUAGCAUGGAAUAAUGAAAUAGGACGUUUGAUCUUAUUUCGUUGGUUUCUAAGAUCGACGUAAUGAUUAAUAGGGAUAGUUGGGGGCAUUAGUAUUCAAUUGUCAGAGGUGAAAUUCUUGAAUUUAUUGAAGACUAACUUCUGCGAAAGCAUUUGCCAAGGAUGUUUUCAUUAAUCAAGAACGAAAGUUAGGGGAUCGAAGACGAUCAGAUACCGUCGUAGUCUUAACCAUAAACUAUGCCGACUAGGGAUCGGACGAUGUUAAUUUUUCUUGACUCGUUCGGCGCCUUACGGGAAAC